rnacentral:lncRNA from 1 species
UAAAAACUGAAUUCAGAGAAAUAUCCUGCUGCUGUGUACACAUUUUACCUAGAAAAAAUGUACUGUCUAAGACUACAAAACAAAAACUGAAAAAAAAAGAACUUGACCAUACAUUUGCCGUAAGGAAGAAUUAGAUACCUCAAAAAUAAGACUGAAGAAGAAACAUCUUGUUGUUCCCCUAUGGGAAAAUGUAGAAAAAAGUCAAAAAUUAGGAUGAAGAAAAAACUCUGAAGACUGAUGCUACUUGUGCUGAAGACUGAUGAAAACGCAUACAAAACCUGACAGUAACUUCAAUAAAAAACAAUGAUGGGAACAGAGAUCUUGCCAGAAUAGCAUACGACAACAAUUAUCUUCGAAAAGUUGUUUCUUAAACUCCGCCCUCGUAAAACAACCACUCCUUGGCUGCUACAGCCGCUGGAAGCGACACAGGUGUCAGUAGGCUUAUUAGCGCAGACCCACAAAAAAUGAUCUUCCUCCGUGAGUUGUAUCUUUGAGCGUCAAAAGCAUGUAUCUGUUGUGAUGGGAUUCAACACCACUGACGCCCCAUUUGGUCCAUUUCCAGCGUGCAUCUGAUCUGUAAAAAAUGAAGUGAAGCAAUAAAUAUGAAGGCCAAAUUAGUAAGAUGACAAAAUGCAGAUAAACUGAAAACUGUAUGAACAAACUUGCUAACCUACCUGGGAUUUCUUGACAAACUAAGCAACUAGGAUGGACAGCUUUAUUCGAGAAGAUCGAACAAGGACUGAAGUAGCUGAAGGUCUGAAUACUCAUAAAUAAGAAAACAGUCUAGAUAAGCAGAACAAAUUUUUCGUGGUUGUAGGCUGUGGUGGACUUAGGUCUGAAACAAUGAAUACUAAAUUAAGACUGAACAGUGAAUACUAACUAACCUACCUAUGUGGUAACACACAAAACUGAACAAAAUGACACCUAACACUGAAACUAAUAACAUAACUAAAAAAUGACACUAACCCCUGAGAGUACUUAAAAUGACACUAGUGUGGGAGAAGUUGUUGAGUAAGUGUGGGACAACUUUGGCUCGGAGAUGUGAAAUAUAACCUACAGGUACAAAAAUAAAGGUAAGAAAAUGAUCAGGACUCAUUGGAAAAUGACAGAGUGAGUAAGCACUAGGGACUCAGACUGAUUGACUAAAAACUGAUAGACUAAAAAAGGAAAUGAAUGCAACAAGUAAUGACUAAAUGAGAAAAACAAAUCUAAGAAAAAGCUAAAGUUUAUAUAAUUCUAUCAGCUAAAAGGACUAAGUUUGUAUCUGAAGCAGGAAAAAACUGAAUUCAUACACAAACUAAAGAAGAAAUGAAAUGUUUAACUGAACAGGACAACUAUCAUGCUAUCAUAAAACAUACAUGGAGGUGUUGGUAAUAUCCACAUCAUAGCCUUGUAAAAAUGAGUGAUGAAUGAAAAAUGAAACAUAACAAGAACUAGACUGUAGUGAUAAAUGAAUAACUGACCAUGACAGUGAACUAGACUAUAGUGAUAAAUUUUUUUGAAACAGAACUAUAGUGAUAAAUUGAACAUAUUCAAAACUAAGUUACCACUCAGCUUUCAAAGUCCUCAGACAACCAAACCCCAAAAUUUAGACGCGAUGAGCGACGGUCAGCGCAGUCGGACCUGCAGAUUGGGUACGCCAUCCCCGUUACAUAUGUAGCAGAGAAAAAACUAUUUUUUUAGCAAAAAGAUGACUGAAAAACUAAGAACAGAGACUCACCAGAUAACUAAUUUAAACUACAGGAAUUAUAAACACAUAUCAAGUCUAACAAAUUUAAAAUGAAUGCCGAAAAUACAGGAAUAACAUCAUAAAGUGAAAAUAAUAAGCUGAAUGGAAACUAACUAGUUAGAAUAAUAAAUGACUUAACUUAAAACUGAUAGACUAGAACAAACACUGACCAAAUAACUGAAGAGAACUAAAAUGAGACACUUAAGAUACUAAACAAACACCGACCAAAUAACUAAUCACUUAAUAUACAGUUGAAGAGAACUAAAACUGAUACUUUAGAGUACUGAUGACUAAAAACUGAAAAUAAUCUAGCAAAAAAACCAGUGCAAAAAACUGAAAACCAAAAACUAAAAACUUAGGACUUACAGGAACAUAAGGUUCAAAACAGAAAUAAUCAUCUACUAAAAGACAAGACUCAUGAGAGAUAGGAGUGAAGAAAGAUGCAAAUGAUAACUAAAUAUGAUAAAAAUGAGGACUGAUACUAUUACCAAAACUAACAUAAGACUGAGAAGGCAAGCUUACAAACUGAGGAAGAAAAACACCAAUUGCUGGAACAAAAUUAUAGAAAGGUACUGAAAACGGAAGACUAGACUACAGAAACACUGAAAACAAAGAUUCUAAAGACACAGAAAACUGAAGAACUAGAGAUAGAGAGAAAAGAGGGCUGAAUAAACAAGACAAAAAAGGUGGUUGAAUAGUAAGGUGACUCAAGAAACACUGAAAAGUGAAGGAUUGAAGACAGAGAAAAGAAAUCUGAAGAAAUAAACAAUUACUAAAGACUGAAGAAAGAUGACUGAAAAUAUAUAUGAAAUAGUUACUGAUGACAGGAUGAAGAAGAGAUGUAAUGGGCAAGGUAUGCAAACAGAUGAAUGAAGCAAUUCCAACAGGACAAUAGGGACCCUAACCACUAUAUGGCGCAGAGUGGAGGUGACAGUUUGACUGUCGAGCUAUUGAAUCCUACUAUAGCCUGACAAUUUGUCUAACCUCCCUGAUUGGAUAAGUGAUUUUCAGGCACUGUAGUUAAAAAAAAUAUGAAGUGAAGUUUGCAGCAGUUGAAAUUCAUUUUAAACGAUAGCCAUUGCCAGAAGAACUAAACAAAAAAGUAGGCCCUUUCGCCUUUGAGACACAUCGAUCUUUCACAACUAGCGCGCAACCUAGCCGACCCGUCUCCUGGUAGAUGUUGAUUUCUUCGCGUGUGUUCAAAGAAACUAAUUUAGGGGUGCUCUGGUUUUUUUACUGUUAGGCUGACCCCUGAAAAAAUUGACUUCGAACACACCUUAAUUGGAGGCACUACAAUGAAAGAAAAAUCGCUGUCUACUGAAAAAUGAACGCCCAUGAACCUGCACUACAGCAAAAAAGAAACCUACACCGAAAAGCAACCAGUGUUCAUGCAGGAAAAAGGCCUAAACCUACAAAAAGCAUACUGAAAAAUUAUAAUAGCCAAUACAUAACAGGUAACAGGAAAAAUUCAGAUCUGUCUGUUUUAGCGUGAAUAAAUCACGCCAAAAAAUAACCGUGAGCUUGCUCACAAAAGUCGGGCGUGAGAAGCAAAACCAUCUCCAUAAUGAAGGAAAUAUUUAAGCUGAAUAAUGUACAGAACAUGGUAAAAAAAACUGAAUAAUCUAGUACCAAAAGCUAGCUCUCAUUCACUAAACUGAAAAAUGAUAAGUACAGAAAAUAUAGAUUGUGCGCAUGUAACAUGUUUUCAUCAUGGAAGAUGCUACCGAAGAAAAUAGGAUUCAGAACAUUCCUUCGUCCAUGCUUACAUCAACAGAAAGCAGACGAAAAUGCCGCCUGAACCAUUACUGAACAUUGCAUAGACCCUCCCACAAAAAAAUAAAAUCACCAGCAAAUGCCUAAAAAACUCAAAUACCUACUUCCACACAUGCAACACAUGUGCAGUUUUUAAAAGACUGCAGAGGAGCCGAACCGCAGAUCUACAUCCAACACUUCGUAGUCAACUUAAUGGAAUGUUUUGUUUAGUGGUGAAAUUGACACUCAACACUUCUUUGAACCGGAGAUCUAGAUCCAGAAAAACAACAAGCCGGACUUGGCGAUGAAAUUUGGGGAUUGACUGACACACACGCAUAGGUGGCUGCAAAAUAUUCAGGAUCGUUUCUCAUGAACCACUCAAAAUCGCAGAUGUGAACUAAGCUAUCGCAAAACGUUCCUACCCAAAAACCAGCUAAUCGAACAACCCCUGCGACAUGGCUCUAUGCCCGGCGACCACGACGAUGAACUGAAUCAAACACAGAAAGAGGCAGAUCAGAUAGAACAAACAAAAAAAAUGGACAAACCUAGGACAACAGGGAGACGGAAGUAUACCUUGCGCCCCACCGACGCCGGCAAAUACUACCUCCCCCAGCAUGGGUGCUUGUUGGCCGCGAGCACGACGGGGAGCUCCGCUGAGUUCCUCUCCAGCCCGCGGCCCUCUCUGUGACGCACGCCUCCAGCAAUCAAGCGCCACGCUCCAUCUCCGGUUGGCCGACCAACCGCUAAUCACCGGCGAGGAGGCCCCUUCCCUCCGCCGUCUCCGCCCGCCUCGGCCAACCCCUUCCAAUCCCCUCCCCGGCUAGGACAAAGGCCGCCGCCCUUCG